GCCUGCCCAGUGACUCUGUUCAACGGCCGCGGUAUCCUAACCGUGCGAAGGUAGCGUAAUCACUUGUUCUUUAAAUGAGGACUUGUAUGAAUGGCACCACGAGGGUUAUACUGUCUCCUUUCCCCAAUCAGUGAAACUAAUCUCCCCGUGAAGAAGCGGGGAUAUGAAUAUAAGACGAGAAGACCCUAUGGAGCUUUAAACUAAUUAACAAAUACUAACCUCCUACCCCCCUUCAGAGCGUACACACUUAUUUUAGCACCAUGAUUAUUAGUUUUAGGUUGGGGUGACCGCGGAGCAUAGACUAACCUCCACAUUGAACGGGGCACACUCCCUGAGCAAAAAAGCUACAACUUUAAGCACCAAUAAAUUGACAUUAAUUGACCCAAUAUUUUGAUCAACGAACCAAGUUACCCUAGGGAUAACAGCGCAAUCCACUUCAAGAGCUCCUAUCGACAAGUGGGUUUACGACCUCGAUGUUGGAUCAGGGUAUCCCGGUGGUGCAGCCGCUACUAAAGGUUCGUUUGUUCAACGAUUAAAACCCUACGUGAUC
rnacentral:rRNA from 1 species